AGCGAGAGCCGUGCGGCCAUCAUGGGUUAGGGCGGAAGUGCCGGGUAUUGAAUGAGGAGAUGCCAGGGGUUGUGGUAGUGCCUGGUUCUUGUUUUGGUCCCGGUUCAGGUCCGGGCGGCCACCCCCUUGCCUACGUUGUUCUUCCCCCAGCAGCGGUUAGGGAGGAACAUGUCGGCAGUCAGCAAGCUGCUUGCUUUGGCUGCCUGUGGCCUGGUGGAAGUGAGGGGUACCUCAGCAGUCGGAGGGGCGUGGAGGUGGCCCGUAGCCCAGCUUGCCACUGGCCCUGUGUCUUGCAGGAAGCUGAGUAAUUUUGCUGAAUUCCAGGCCCUAUUGACCUCACUGUGCUCCUGUAAGAGAUGCAAGAAAAGCCAGGGUAGCUGUGUGCUCUUGUUGGCCCUGGUAGUAAAUACGGGAGUAGCGAGGAGACCUGGAGGAGAAAGGCAGAGACAAGCUGUACACGGAGGGAAAGGUGGAAAAUGGCCUAUAAAAUAGCUUGUAAAGAGAAGCAUGGAAGAAAGAGGUAGGGCAGUAGAAUGCUGGGAGAAAUCAUUGCACAUUCAUGUGAGAGGUGGUUUCUCCUUAGUUUUACACAGAUCCUGAUGGUGUGCUGCGUGAUGAACUUUGUCAGAAAAAGCAAAUAAGCAGAUUGCCAGUUUCCCCCAAAGAGGAGAUGAAAGGAAUGAAGAUAAAAGCUGUGCUGGGUUACCACAGUAACCAUCUUCUGAAAUGCUCUGGUGGCUCUUGGAGUGUAGAGACCAAGCCAGAGCACACUGGCAAAUCCAGCUUUUCCUCCAGUACAGCCUCUUGCCUGGGCUCUGCCUGCAUUUCCCAGCAGAGAGCAGCAGAGCCUCGUAGCUGCUCGCAGGGGCUCUGAGUGCAUCCUCGAAGACCUUCUUGGAGCCCUUGCCUCCACAAAACACAGCAGUAAACCUUCACUUGGCUCGCAGGCGCCUGUCAGACUUGUCAAGAGCAUUGGUGUGGGCAAAAAGAAAAUGCGUGUUUGCAAUCCCGAAGAUUCAGCGCUUUCCUGAAAAGAGGUUGUUCAUGGAGAACAAGAAACCUUUCGUGGGGGGGUGCUCUCCAGGUUGUCUUUGUGCUCAGUGCUAGAAGGUAGUGCCCCGAGUAUGGCUUCAGAAAGUGGGGAGAUACCUCUACCAGAUUAAGCAAACCUCUUUCACAGAUGACUGACAUGGAUUAGGUGACCCUUGAGGUCUCCUUCAGGUGCAUCUUUGGCAGUACAGGAAAGAAACGUUAUUAGCUUCUGCAUUUGCUUUGGAAACCUGUUUAACCUACUUUAGAUUUAACCCUUUCUAUUAAAAAUAAAGUUUUAUCUGUC